rnacentral:rRNA from 1 species
GAUGAACGCUGGCGGCGUGCCUAAUACAUGCAAGUCGAGCGAACAGACGAGGAGCUUGCUCCUCUGACGUUAGCGGCGGACGGGUGAGUAACACGUGGAUAACCUACCUAUAAGACUGGGAUAACUUCGGGAAACCGGAGCUAAUACCGGAUAAUAUAUUGAACCGCAUGGUUCAAUAGUGAAAGACGGUUUUGCUGUCACUUAUAGAUGGAUCCGCGCCGCAUUAGCUAGUUGGUAAGGUAACGGCUUACCAAGGCAACGAUGCGUAGCCGACCUGAGAGGGUGAUCGGCCACACUGGAACUGAGACACGGUCCAGACUACUACGGGAGGCAGCAGUAGGGAAUCUUCCGCAGUGGGCGAAAGCCUGACGGAGCAACGCUGCGUGAGUGAUAGAGGUCUUCGGAUCGUAAAACUCUGUUAUUAGGGAAGAACAAAUGUGUAAGUAACUAUGCACGUCUUGACGGUACCUAAUCAGAAAGCCACGGCUAACUACGUG